rnacentral:rRNA from 1 species
UACAGAGGCCCCAAGCAUUAUCCGGAAUCACUGGGCGUAAAGGGUGCGUAGGUGGCGUUAUUAGUCCUCUUUCAAAUCUUCCGGGCUCAACCCGGAAGCUCGAGGGGAAACGGUAACGCUCGAGGAUGUACGAGGUAUGUGGAACUCUAGGUGUAGGGGUGAAAUCCGUUGAUAUCUAGGGGAACACCAAAUGCGAAGGCAGCAUACUGGGACAUUCCUGACACUGAGGCACGAAAGCGUGGGUAGCGAAAAGG